UGGGGAAUUUUGCACAAUGGGGGAAACCCUGAUGCAGCGACGCCGCGUGAUUUAGAAGGCCUUCGGGUUGUAAAAAUCUUUUGUAUAGGAAGAAAAUGACAGUACUAUACGAAUAAGGACCGGCUAAAUACGUGCCAGCAGCCGCGGUAAUACGUAAGGUCCGAGCGUUGUCCGGAAUCAUUGGGCGUAAAGGGUACGUAGGCGGGUAAGCAAGUUAGAAGUGAAAUCCUAUAGCUCAACUAUAGUAAGCUUUUAAAACUGCUCAUCUUGAGGUAUGGAAGGGAAAGUGGAAUUCCUAGUGUAGCGGUGAAAUGCGCAGAUAUUAGGAGGAAUACCGGUGGCGAAGGCGACUUUCUGGCCAUAACCUGACGCUGAGGUACGAAAGCGUGGGUAGCAAACAGG
rnacentral:rRNA from 1 species